rnacentral:lncRNA from 1 species
AUUUAAGACACUCUGCAAAGGUCAAGUCCGCUUUCCUUGCACUUUUUGUGAAAGAAGAGCCUAGGCAUCUUGCCUUGGAAAAGUAGCAAAACAAGACAAAAGAGAGGCUUAAGCAUUUAUCUAUUGGAAUUCUUUUGCGCCCUAGACAACAUCCUCAUAUUGAUGUCCUUGUUACACUAUUAAACUUCACUGUCCGUAGAAUUUUUUUCAGCGUUUUGGAUUCUGGGACCCUGAGAUAUGAUAAAGUAGAAUAUUUGAAAUCUGGAGAAAGAACAAGAAAAAUAAAGCAGAAAUCUCAACAAGGGUACUUUGAAGUGCAGCCCGUUCUCACCAUGAUGGUCAUUUUGCUCAAUAGCUCCAACCGUGGGACAGUGUUUCCAAAGCCG